UACAGAGGUCCCGAGCGUUGUUCGGAUUCGUUGGGCGUAAAGGGUGCGUAGGCGGCGGGGCAAGUCUGAUGUGAAAUCCCGGGGCUCAACCCCGGAACUGCAUUGGAUACUGCCUUGCUUGAGUACUGGAGAGGGAACUGGAAUUUACGGUGUAGCAGUGAAAUGCGUAGAGAUCGUAAGGAAGGCCAGUGGCGAAGGCGAGUUCCUGGACAGUUACUGACGCUGAGGCACGAAGGCCAGGGGAGCAAACGGG
rnacentral:rRNA from 1 species